rnacentral:rRNA from 1 species
AUUGAACGCUGGCGGCAGGCUUAACACAUGCAAGUCGAGCGGGGGAAGGUAGCUUGCUACCUGACCUAGCGGCGGACGGGUGAGUAAUGCUUAGGAAUCUGCCUAUUAGUGGGGGACAACAUUUCGAAAGGGAUGCUAAUACCGCAUACGCCCUACGGGGGAAAGCAGGGGAUCAUUUGACCUUGCGCUAAUAGAUGAGCCUAAGUCGGAUUAGCUAGUUGGUGGGGUAAAGGCCUACCAAGGCGACGAUCUGUAGCGGGUCUGAGAGGAUGAUCCGCCACACUGGGACUGAGACACGGCCCAGACUCCUACGGGAGGCAGCAGUGGGGAAUAUCGGACAAUGGGGGGAACCCUGAUCCAGCCAUGCCGCGUGUGUGAAGAAGGCCUUUUGGUUGUAAAGCACUUUAAGCGAGGAGGAGGCUUACUUAGUUAAUACCUAGGAUAAGUGGACGUUACUCGCAGAAUAAGCACCGGCUAACUCUGUGCCAGCAGCCGCCGUAAUAC